UGGGGAAGCCUCUUAAUGUACUAACCUU
rnacentral:piRNA from 1 species